rnacentral:rRNA from 3 species
UACGUAGGUGGCAAGCGUUGUCCGGAAUCACUGGGCGUAAAGCGCGCGCAGGCGGCGAUCUACGUCUGGGGUGAAAGCCCGGAGCUCAACUCCGGGACUGCCUUGGAUACGGGAUCGCUUGAGGAUUGGAGAGGCAAGGGGAAUUCCACGUGUAGCGGUGAAAUGCGUAGAUAUGUGGAGGAACACCUGUGGCGAAGGCGCCUUGCUGGCCAAUUUCUGACGCUGAGGCGCGAAAGCGUGGGGAGCAAACAGG